CAUCCCUUUUGGAGUGUUAUCAUUUUUUUCUGUAGGGAUGCUGACCUCUGCAAUAGCAGAGCUUAGCACAGUACCUGGAACCCAGUAGGUGCUUCAUGAGGACUUGCUGAUUGAUUGUAGAAAAGAAGACAGUCUUACUUGAUUACGAAAGGGAAGACAUGACUAUAAAGUUUCGUCCUUUCGAAAGAGUAUAAUUGUGUUCAGAAGUCAUGGCAUUUACAGCCAGAAGGGCUCCUUCCAUAGGCAAAGGCUCUCAUUUGAAAGGGCGAGUGAGCCCUGUGGCUCUCACUUCUGGCCCACAGCUGAGGCUGCAGCUACAUGUAUUCAAUGUGAAGGAGAUUCCCAGUUUGGAGGAGUGCAGAGAUUCAGGAGCUCACCCCAAAGCAGAGAGGAGAAGGAUCCUGCAACCAAUUAUCGAAAAUGAGUGCAGACGUCGAAAUGCGCAGUGAAGAGUUCGAUACCAAUCAAGAGGAAGUUGAUGAGAGGGCAGAGAAGCAAGCAGCAGGAAAGAAAGGAGACUACCAUCUUGGAGCUAAAGAACGAUCUUCAAACACAGAUAGAAGAAUUGAAAAGACAGAAAGAAGAAAGGGUACAAGAACAGAAACUACUUCAAGAACAAGAGCACAAAUUGUGUCAGAUUCUUUGUGUGCUCCCAUACAGC
rnacentral:lncRNA from 1 species